GAGCGGUGCUGGAGGGCGGGGCGAGACGAGUGGAGCUGCUGUCCGUCAGUCCUCUGGUCUGGUUGAUCUGGAGACUGAAGUGCGUUUCGUGGGACGACAAGUCAGUUUUAACCGCGGCCUGCGCUCGGGCUCAGUGGAUCCUUACGGAAACAAGUGCGAUUAACUCAGGGGUGAGAUCUUCAGGAUAAAUGUGAAAUUCUGGCGCGUGUGAAUCUAGAUAAACAGUGAUGCCACAUCAGCUCACAUGCUCUGGAAGGACUGAUUCACGAAUGGCAGGGUUGUUGAGAUCAUCUGGUUAACCUCAGGUUAGAGACUCCUGUCCUUCUGACUCACUCCGGUAAAAAAAAAAAGAGUAGAUAUUCGCCAUCUUUAAUAAUACGCAGGAACUGGAUAAGUGCUCUUUGUGCUAAUAUGACUAAAUAUUACCACUCUUAAAUGUAAUUUUACUCAAAACAUUCCGAAAAUGUAACUAACACCUGUUUAAUUAUUGCUUACACAAUUACGUACUCUAACAUUGUUAUUCACAUUAGAUGAAUGAGUUUUUGAGAUGUUGAGCUAUUUUGAGAAUAGUUUUAAAGGUGCGGUAGAAUGUAAAACUGUAUUUAUGUAGGCAUUUAUGAAUAAUAAGAGUUGUGUACAUGAUAAUAACAUAUCGUGAGCUUUAAACACGAUUGUUUCCUCCUCCUUAUGUAAACCUUGUGCAUGCAAAAGACCGCUGGAAAACAGACCAAUCUCAACAUAACACCAACUGUUACGUUACAGUCCAGAAGUACACCCCCAAAAUUAAAUUACACAUUAAAUUAAUUACAAUGUUGUUACAAUGCUAAAAACAAAGUUGUGACUGCUGAGUUUGCGCUAUAUGCUAGUUAAUGCCAGUGUUGGGGAAAGUUACUUUUAAAAGUAAUGCGU